rnacentral:lncRNA from 1 species
UGGUUUUGAACCCAAUUAGAGUUCCAACAAGUUUAAAUUGAUGAAUUCAAGUUGCUGAAUGCAUUACUAGAGUGUUAGAAUCACUUGUGCAUGAAUUCACUUUUAAAACCACACAUCUUGCUUUCCUAAUCUGUUUUAGAACCAUUCUAGGAUCUAAAAUUGUGUGCCUCCUUCAUUUCUACACCCUUUUUGAUUGCUUUAAAGAUGUUUGGCUUCCUAAGUGUCAAUUUUAAAACCAAUUUAUGGUGCAUAAUCUGGUGUAGUUAACUAAUGUGUUUGGUGAUUGUUUUGGCUGAUUUCAAUGGUGUUUUGAAGUCCAAUUGGAGCACUCAAUAGUAGAGAGAACACUCAUUUUUGUGAGCUUUGUUGGAAUUUCCCUCUGGUAUUUUGCAAACUCAAAUUCUAUCUUCUUAUACUAUGCCUUUUUCUUGGAAUCUUCCAUAUACAUGGCUCACUUCUAACAAUUGAACGCAUCACACGAGUCCCCUGUCUUAAGUUAUAUGGAUAUGACUAUGAAAGCAAAACAAGAGCAUCUAAUUUAUGUAUGCACAAAAACUCUUUUCCUUGCAUUUAACUGUUUUUAAGAAAUUAGUGAUUCAACUCAGAUGUAGAAUUGGUAAUUGAUACACUCAUACACAAUUAUGAAUAUAAAUUUUAAACGCUGGAAAAUUUGUUCUAGCCUUAUUGAGUUCACC